rnacentral:tRNA from 2 species
UUCGGCGUGCCCGGAGCCGGUGCGGCGGGCGGUCCCGCCGCCCGGGCGGCCGACGUUGUCUCCGCCGGUACGGAACCGGGCGCCGACA